AAUCAACGCUGGCGGCGUGCCUCAGACAUGCAAGUCGAACGCGAAAGUUUCCUUCGGGAAACAAGUAGAGUGGCGCACGGGUGAGUAACACGUAGGUAAUCUACCUUCGGAUGGGGAAUAACAAUCGGAAACGAUUGCUAAUACCGCAUAAUGCAGCGGCACCUAAUGGUGACAGUUGUUAAAGCGGGGGAUCGAAAGACCUCGCGUCUGAAGAGGAGCCUGCGGCGGAUUAGCUAGUUGGUAAGGUAAUGGCUUACCAAGGCUACGAUCCGUAACCGGCCUGAGAGGGCGGUCGGUCACACUGACACUGACAUACGGGUCAGACUCCUACGGGAGGCAGCAGUCGGGAAUUUUGGGCAAUGGGCGAAAGACCUGACCCAGCAACGCCGCGUGAAGGAUGAAAUCCCUCGGGAUGU
rnacentral:rRNA from 1 species